rnacentral:rRNA from 1 species
AUUGAACGCUGGCGGCAGGCCUAACACAUGCAAGUCGAACGAGUGGCGGACGGGUGAGUAAUGUCUGGGAAACUGCCCGCUGGAGGGGGAUAACUACUGGAAACGGUAGCUAAUACCGCAUACCAUCGGAUGUGCCCAGAUGGGAUUAGCUAGUAGGUGGGGUAACGGUUCACCUAGGCGAAGAUCCCUAGAUGGUCUGAGAGGAUGACCAGCCCCACUGGAACUUGGACACCGUCCAGAUUCAUACGGGAGGCAGCAGUGGGGAAUAUGGCACAAUGGGCGCAAGCCUGAUGCAGCCAUGCCGCGUGUAUGAAGAAGGCCUUCGGGUUGUAAAGUACUUUCAGCGAGGAGGCGUUACUCGCAGAAGAAGCACCGGCUAACUCCGUGCCAGCAGCCGCGGUAAUAC